rnacentral:rRNA from 1 species
GACGAACGCUGGCGGCGUGCUUAACACAUGCAAGUCGAACGAUGAAGCCGGAGCUUGCUCCGGUGGAUUAGUGGCGAACGGGUGAGUAACACGUGAGCAAUCUGCCCUUGACUCUGGGAUAACUGCGGGAAACUGUAGCAAAUACCGGAUACGACACCUUGGGGCAUCCUAGGGUGUGGAAAGAAUUUCGGUCAAGGAUGAGCUCGCGGCCUAUCAGCUAGUUGGUGAGGUAAUGGCUCACCAAGGCGACGACGGGUAGCCGGCCUGAGAGGGUGACCGGCCACACUGGAACUGAGACACGGUCCAGACUCCGACGGGAGGCAGCAGUGGGGAAUAUUGCACAAUGGGCGAAAGCCUGAUGCAGCAACGCCGCGUGAGGGAUGAAGGCCUUCGGGUUGUAAACCUCUUUUAGCAGGGAAGAAGCGAAAGUGACGGUACCUGCAGAAAAAGCACCGGCUAACUACGUGCCAGCAGCCGCAGUAA